GACGAACGCUGGCGGCGUGCCUAAUACAUGCAAGUCGAGCGGACCACUUCGGUGGUCAGCGGCGGACGGGUGAGUAACACGUGGGCAACCUGCCUGUAAGACUGGGAUAACACCGGGAAACCGGUGCUAAUACCGGAUAAUCCUUUCCUUCACAUGAAGGGAAGCUGAAAGACGGUUUCGGCUGUCCCUUACAGAUGGGCCCGCGGCGCAUUAGCUAGUUGGUGAGGUAACGGCUCACCAAGGCAACGAUGCGUAGCCGACCUGAGAGGGUGGUCGGCCACACUGGGACUGAGACACGGCCCAGACUCCUACGGGAGGCAGCAGUAGGGAAUCUUCCGCAAUGGGCGAAAGUCUGACGGAGCAACGCCGCGUGAGCGAUGAAGGCCUUCGGGUCGUAAAGCUCUGUUGUCAGGGAAGAACAAGUACCGGAGUAACUGCCGGUACCUUGACGGUACCUGACCAGAAAGCCACGGCUAACUACGUGCCAGCAGCCGCCGUAACAC
rnacentral:rRNA from 1 species